rnacentral:rRNA from 1 species
AGAGUUUGAUCCUGGCUCAGGACGAACGCUAGCUACAGGCUUAACACAUGCAAGUCGAGGGGCAGCAUGGUCUUAGCUUGCUAAGGCCGAUGGCGACCGGCGCACGGGUGAGUAACACGUAUCCAACCUGCCGUCUACUCUUGGACAGCCUUCUGAAAGGAAGGUUAAUACAAGAUGGCAUCAUGAGUCCGCAUGUUCACAUGAUUAAAGGUAUUCCGGUAGACGAUUGGGGAUGCGUUCCAUUAGAUAGUAGGCGGGGUAACGGCCCACCUAGUCUUCGAUGGAUAGGGGUUCUGAGAGGAAGGUCCCCCACAUUGGAACUGAGACACGGUCCAAACUCCUACGGGAGGCAGCAGUGAGGAAUAUUGGUCAAUGGGCGCAGGCCUGAACCAGCCAAGUAGCGUGAAGGAUGACUGCCCUAUGGGUUGUAAACUUCUUUUAUAAAGGAAUAAAGUCGGGUAUGUAUACCCGUUUGCAUGUACUUUAUGAAUAAGGAUCGGCUAACUCCGUGCCAGCAGCCGCGGUAAUACGGAGGAUCCGAGCGUUAUCCGGAUUUAUUGGGUUUAAAGGGAGCGUAGAUGGAUGUUUAAGUCAGUUGUGAAAGUUUGCGGCUCAACCGUAAAAUUGCAGUUGAUACUGGAUAUCUUGAGUGCAGUUGAGGCAGGCGGAAUUCGUGGUGUAGCGGUGAAAUGCUUAGAUAUCACGAAGAACUCCGAUUGCGAAGGCAGCCUGCUAAGCUGCAACUGACAUUGAGGCUCGAAAGUGUGGGAGCAAACAGGAUUAGAUACCCUGGUAGUCCACGCCGUAAACGAUGAAUACUAGGUGUAGGGGGUAUCGACCCCCUCUGUGCCGCAGCAAACGCAGUAAGUAUUCCGCCUGGGGAGUACGGCCGCAAGGUUGAAGCUCAAAGGAAUUGACGGGGGCCCGCACAAGCAGCGGAGCAUGUGGCUUAAUUCGACGCAACGCGAAGAACCUUACCAAGACUUGACAUCCUCUGACGCAUAUAGAGAUAUAUGUUCCCUUCGGGGCAGAGAGACAGGUGGUGCAUGGUUGCCGUCAGCUCGUGUCGUGAGAUGUUGGGUUAAGUCCCGCAACGAGCGCAACCCUUGUGAACAGUUGCCAGUAUUAAGUUAGGAACUCUGUUCAGACUGCCGUGGACAACACGGAGGAAGGUGGGGACGACGUCAAAUCAUCAUGCCCCUUACGUCUUGGGCUACACACGUGCUACAAUGGCCGUAACAGAGGGCAGCGAAAGGGCAACCUGGAGCGAAUCUCAAAAAAACGGUCUCAGUUCAGAUUGUGGGCUGCAACCCGCCCACAUGAAGACGGAGUUGCUAGUAAUCGCGAAUCAGCAUGCCGCGGUGAAUGCGUUCCCGGGCCUUGUACACACCGCCCGUCACACCAUGGGAGUUGAGAGCACCCGAAGUCGGUGACCUAACCGCAAGGAAGGAGCCGCCGAAGGUGAGAUUGAUGACUGGGGUGAAGUCGUAACAAGGUA